rnacentral:lncRNA from 1 species
CGGGAUUUGGGGAUUGAUCCUUACGGGAUCCGGGAAUAUAUUUUUUGAUUUCAGGAUUUGAAUUUCUUUAAAUUCUGCAUCUCGGGAUUUCAUGGUUUUAAGCCCGGGAUUUCGGGAUCAGGACCCCUCCGAUCGGGAUUUGGGGAUUGAUCCUUGAUCCUUACGGGAUCCGGGAAUAUAUUUUUCGAUUUCGGGAUAUGAAUUUCUUUAAAUUCUGCAUCUCGGGAUUUCAUGGUUUUAAGCCCGGGAUUUCGGGAUCAGGACCCCUCCGAUAGACAACCCCU